AAAUAGAUGUGAUGGUGGAAAACUUUGUACAGUCUAGCCCAUUGAUGCAGUUUCCAGAGACCUUUCUACUCUGCGGGUUUUGUUUCUGGGGAGUUCCCCUCUUUCAUCCACGAAGGCUGCCUCCACUGCCACCGUGUACAGUCCGGGCGUGUUCACGCUGACCAACUGCUGCGCGGAGAAGAAAUCACGUACAGGAGUAACGGUCUGCACGGCGGUCAGUACAGGCGGGAUGUUCGUCAGCUCGACGGUCUGGAACGAUCGCUGCUUUUAAUUAUUAGUAAUGUGGUUUGA